rnacentral:sRNA from 1 species
CUUGGGGUACAUGGGACUGAUUCCAGCAGUGGGACCAGAUUCACCUGGGCCAUCCCAUGCCUGAUUCAUGGGCAGCCUCACUGAGAGCAGUGGCAGAUAGAGUCACCUGUUCCAUUUCAGUGGCUCUUUCCUCUUUGCUCUUUUUUUUCAAUAUUUCUGGUUGAAUUUGUGUAGUGGAAUGAUCGUAUGAUGCAACUCUACCAUAAUAGAAUUUAUUUGACAAGCUAGUGCAAUUAGUUAUUAAUGAAUGUAAACUUCACAGGAUUAGAAAGGCUAUGUGUUUCACUAUAUUUUUGUAUCUUUGGGUUCUGCAAAAUAUACUAGAGUGUCACAUAAUUCAAGAAGGGAUUUCAGGAACGUGGAUGUUAACUAUUAAUAGUUUGAAAAUGAUACUAUUUGGGGGUUUCCUUUUUUUUCCAUUUCUCUCCAACAUAUUAAGAAAACUAUUGGGAUAUUAUUUUGCCUUAUGCAGUAGAUUGCUGAUGGUUGUGAAUUGUGUUUUAAUAAGAACCUGUUCUGUUUAUGACUUCAGGAUUUUUUAUUGGUGGACCUUCUAAUAUGAUUAGUUCUGCUAUUUCCGCGGACUUGGGUCGCCAGGAGCUUAUCCAAAGGAGCAGUGAGGCUUUGGCCACUGUCACAGGAAUUGUUGAUGGUUCGGGGAGCAUUGGAGCUGCAGUGGGCCAGUAUUUAGUGUCUCUGAUCCGGGACAAGCUAGGAUGGAUGUGGGUUUUCUACUUUUUCAUUCUCAUGACAAGUUGUACAAUUGUGUUUAUCUCGCCAUUAAUAGUGAGGGAAAUAUUCUCUCUCGUGCUAAGGAGACAGGCUUACAUAUUGAGGGAGUGACUGGUGCCCACGAGACAGAAAGAACAAUGUCAGCCACAUCAGGACUGCUGGGGCUUCGAGUCUGCCCUAAUUUGGGUUUGUCUAGGAGCUCCAGCCUGAUCUUGGAUUGUUAGGCGUCUCUCAACACUGCCAGCCACCUGAGAUGCUGACCAGCGGUGAAGGCUGCACUAGUUUUCUACACUACAGGAAUUAUUGUUGAUGAUUUUUGCUGUUGUUUCAUGAAUGUGCUGAGUGACUUCUGACUCUGCCAGCAUCUUUGACCUCUGACUCUGCCAGCAUCUUUGUUUGGCCUAUUGAGGUUUAGCGUUUUAACCUUAACUGUUGUUUUGGACUUGAACUUUCUCUAGCCUUGAAAAUAGAGUGAACAGGAGGCAAAGCCACGCGUGGUUUGUGUUGGUGAUAUGCUCCACAAAUGGAAGAGAUCAUUGCAUUUUGCUUUGGUAAUGAGUUUACAGAGAGUGGCUCAUCUUUGAAGCAUCAAAUCCUGAUCAAAUGCUCAAGCUGGACCGAGCUGCAAGCCUGCCUUGGACAAAGAAUCCCUCUGUUCACUGUGGUGGGAAAGAUCACACUACAUGCCUGUUGAUUGGCUCAGUCACUCUGUGUCUGAUCUAAACGUCAUUCAGCCCUAGAAGCAUGAAUAGCUUCAAAUUAUUGUCAACUUGUUCUCUUCCAUCUUCAUUCAAAUUAACUUUGACUCCUGGAAGUAUUUCGUCUUCCUUUCAAGGACCAUAAGGUACAUCAGUUAUCUUGAACAUUCUGACGUGUAAAGGACCAUAAGGUACAUCAGUUAUCUUGAACAUUCCGACGUGUAACUCAGAGCCGAAGCACUCCAUCCCAGAUUUGUUGUCUGGGAACUUUAGGAUCCUCUAGGAAGCUAAUCUGCUUAGUCUAUUUUUAGAGGAUUGAUCUCUGGCACAACCAGCUUCCUGGAGUUACCUCAGCAGAAGACUAGAAUUAGAGAAAAGGGAAAGACCUUUUUUUCUAGUAAGUGUCAAGUACAGAUGCUCUUUGACUUAUGAUGGGGUUAUGUCCCAGUAAACCCAUUGGAAGUCAAAUGCAUUUAAUACCCCUGACCUACUGAACACCACAGCUUAGCCUCGUCCACCCUAAAUGUACUCAGAACACUUAGAAUUGCCCACAGUUGGGCAGAAUCAUCUAACACAAACUCUAUUUUAUAAUCAAGUGUUGAAUAUAUCAUGUAAUUUAUUGAAUAUUGUACAUUAUGUUGAAAUUGCAACCAUUUCACACCAUUGUAAAGUCCAAAAAUCAGAAGCCGAGGACUGUCUGUACAUGACAUUGAAUCACAUGAAUGGAUUACUAGGGCCUGAGGGGUGUCCAUUCUUUAGAAAAAUGUAGAGUAUAUAUAUCUUCAGGGCUGUGAAUUCCAUACUAGUUAUCAAUAUUUUAAGAUCAUUCUGUAUAUAUAUAUUUUAAAUUAUACAAGCAAACUAGGAGGAGAAUGUGCAAUUUUGAGGGAUACCUAAUUUGCAUUGGGCUAGGGGAUAUUUUUCAACCUCUUGCUUUAUACUCUGAUAUGGGGUGUGUUCAUGAACUUGUUGAUGUUAUUUAAUCAUACAGAUUUCCAAUCAGUGUAUUGCUCAUUUACUGACAAAAAGGGAAAAUACGAAACACAGAAAGGGAAAAUAAACUGACAUUUAUAAUG